AUGAACAUGAGGGCCCCUGCUCAAUUUCUUGGGUUCUUGUUGCUCUGGUUUCCAGGUGUCAGAUGUGACAUCCAGAUGACCCAGUCUCCAUCUUCCAUGUCUACCUCUCUGGGAGACACAGUCACUAUCAGGUGCCUGGCAAGUGAGGGCAUUAGCAGUUAUUUAAGCUGGUAUCAGCAGAAACCAGGGGAAUCUCCUAAGGGCCUGAUCUAUGGUGCCACUAACCGGGCAGAUGGGGUCCCAUCAAGGUUCAGUGGCAGUGGGUCUGGGGCAGAUUAUUCCCUCACCAUCAGCAACCUGGAGUCUGAAGAUAUGGCAGAUUAUUACUGUCUGCAGUAUUAUAAAUUUCCUCCCACAGUGAUACAAAUCAUAACAUAA